GCUCUCAUUUUAGUUUCAGGAAAGUUUCUUUGAGGUUCACAUUAAUGAUGCCACCAGGAGAAACUGUUUCUGACUACAGGUUCAGUCUUUGAAGCUCUUUUGGACUGAAACACCCCACCGGCCCUCUUCCAGAUACAAACGUGCGAGUAAGCCAUUUUUCUGCAAGAAAACCUUUUAUGGGAAUGAGUUCGGCCAUUAACAAAUACCUUACGUUACAGAUUUCCAACUUCAACUGUUUCAGCUACUUAAGUGUUAUAAUGCGAAAGCAGCUAAGGAC